rnacentral:misc_RNA from 1 species
AAGUCGUAACAAGGUUUCCGUAGGUGAACCUGCGGAAGGAUCAUUACCGCGUUGCUUGCAACGUAGCCACCCACUGUGCAAUGUGACCCAGGCGACAGAGUCGCUACAUCGAGGCAGCGAGACAGAAAUGGAUCGUUUGCAGCGUGUAGCCGUCGUCUGCAUUUUUCUCCCUUCACUUUUGUCCCCCUUUCCUUUUCUGUUAGUUGACGUGUUCUGCUGUGUGGCGCUCGUCGUCCUCAGCUGUUUGCUUCGGCAACGCACUACAACUCUUAGCAAUGGAUAUCUCGGUUCUCGC